GAGCAUGCGGGUGCUAUACAUGCAGUCGAGCGAAUGGAUUAGAGAGCUUGCUCUUAAUGAAGUUAGCGGCGGACGGGUGAGUAACACGUGGGUAACCUGCCCAUAAGACUGGGAUAACUCCGGGAAACCGGGGCUAAUACCGGAUAACAUUUUGAACUGCAUGGUUCGAAAUUGAAAGGCGGCUUCGGCUGUCACUUAUGGAUGGACCCGCGUCGCAUUAGCUAGUUGGUGAGGUAACGGCUCACCAAGGCAACGAUGCGUAGCCGACCUGAGAGGGUGAUCGGCCACACUGGGACUGAGACACGGCCCAGACUCCUACGGGAGGCAGCAGUAGGGAAUCUUCCGCAAUGGACGAAAGUCUGACGGAGCAACGCCGCGUGAGUGAUGAAGGCUUUCGGGUCGUAAAACUCUGUUGUUAGGGAAGAACAAGUGCUAGUUGAAUAAGCUGGCACCUUGACGGUACCUAACCAGAAAGCCACGGCUAACUACGUGCCAGCAGCCGCGGUAAUACGUAGGUGGCAAGCGUUAUCCGGAAUUAUUGGGCGUAAAGCGCGCGCAGGUGGUUUCUUAAGUCUGAUGUGAAAGCCCACGGCUCAACCGUGGAGGGUCAUUGGAAACUGGGAGACUUGAGUGCAGAAGAGGAAAGUGGAAUUCCAUGUGUAGCGGUGAAAUGCGUAGAGAUAUGGAGGAACACCAGUGGCGAAGGCGACUUUCUGGUCUGUAACUGACACUGAGGCGCGAAAGCGUGGGGAGCAAACAGGAUAGAA
rnacentral:rRNA from 1 species